UGUGGGAGCUGGCUUGCCUGCGAUAGCGGUGGGUCUGGCAGCAGCAGGUCGCCUGCCAGGCCCUCAUCGCAGGCAAGCCAGCUCCCACA
rnacentral:misc_RNA from 1 species